rnacentral:rRNA from 1 species
UACGAAGGGGGCUAGCGUUGUUCGGAAUUACUGGGCGUAAAGCGCACGUAGGCGGAUAUUUAAGUCAGAGGUGAAAUCCCGGAGCUCAACUUCGGAACUGCCUUUGAUACUGGGUAUCUUGAGUAUGGAAGAGGUAAGUGGAAUUGCGAGUGUAGAGGUGAAAUUCGUAGAUAUUCGCAAGAACACCAGUGGCGAAGGCGGCUGACUGGUCCGGUUCUGACGCUGAGGCGCGAAAGCGUGGGGAGCAAACAGG